rnacentral:rRNA from 1 species
CCUACGGGGGGCUGCAGUGGGGAAUAUUGGACAAUGGGGGCAACCCUGAUCCAGCCAUGCCGCGUGUGUGAAGAAGGCCCUCGGGUUGUAAAGCACUUUCAGUGAGGAAGAACGCCUGGUGGUUAAUACCCAUCAGGAAAGACAUCACUCACAGAAGAAGCACCGUCUAACUCCGUGCCAGCAGCCGCGGUAAUACGGAGGGUGCGAGCGUUAAUCGGAAUUACUGGGCGUAAAGCGCGCGUAGGUGGCUUGAUAAGCCGGUUGUGAAAGCCCCGGGCUCAACCUGGGAACGGCAUCCGGAACUGUCAAGCUAGAGUGCAGGAGAGGAAGGUAGAAUUCCCGGUGUAGCGGUGAAAUGCGUAGAGAUCGGGAGGAAUACCAGUGGCGAAGGCGGCCUUCUGGACUGACACUGACACUGAGGUGCGAAAGCGUGGGUAGCAAACAGGAUUAGAUACCCGGGUAGUC